AGGAGCUACCAUGCAGUCGAGGGGCAUCAGGGAUGUAGCAAUACAUUUGCUGGCGACCGGCGCCCCCUUANANAGNGCGUAUGCAACCUGCCUAUCAGAGGAGGAUAACCCNUUANAAAGUCGGACUAAUACUCCAUAAAACAGGGGUUCCGCAUGGGNCUAUUUGUUAAAGAUUAAUCGCUGAUAGAUGGGCAUGCGUUCCAUUAGCUGGUUGGUGAGGUAACGGCUCACCAAGGCAACGAUGGAUAGGGGUUCUGAGAGGAAGGUCCCCCACACUGGUACUGAGACACGGACCAGACUCCUACGGGAGGCAGCAGUGAGGAAUAUUGGUCAAUGGGCGAGAGCCUGAACCAGCCAAGUCGCGUGAAGGAUGAAGGAUCUAUGGUUUGUAAACUUCUUUUAUACGGGAAUAAAGUUCAGGACGUGUCCUGUUUUUGUAUGUACCGUUAUGAAUAAGCAUCGGCUAACUCCGUGCCAGCAGCCGCGGUAAUACGGAGGAUGCGAGCGUUAUCCGGAUUUAUUGGGUUUNAAAGGGUGCGUAGGUGGUAGAUUAAGUCAGCGGUGAAAGUUUGUCGCUCAACGAUAAAAUUGCCGUUGAUACUGGUUUACUUGAGUAUAGUUGAAGUAGGCGGAAUGCGUGGUGUAGCGGUGAAAUGCAUAGAUAUCACGCAGAACUCCGAUUGCGAAGGCAGCUUACUAAGUUAUAACUGACACUGAAGCACGAAAGCGUGGGUAUCAAACAGGAUUAGAUACCCUGGUAGUCCACGCAGUAAACGAUGAUUACUAGCUGUUUGCGAUAUACAGUAAGUGGCACAGCGAAAGCGUUAAGUAAUCCACCUGGGGAGUACGCCGGCAACGGUGAAACUCAAAGGAAAUUGACGGGGGCCCGCACAAGCGGAGGAACAUGUGGUUUAAUUCGAGGAUACGCGAGGAACCNUUACCCGGGAUUGAAAUGUACCUGACAGGCUUGGAAACAGGUCCUCUAGCAAUAGCAGGUAUGUAGGGGCUGCAUGGUUGUCGUCAGCUCGUGCCGUGAGGUGUCGGCUUAAGUGCCAUAACGAGCGCAACCCUCAUUGAUAGUUACUAACAGGUAAAGCUGAGGACUCUAUUAAGACUGCCGGCGUAAGCUGUGAGGAAGGUGGGGAUGACGUCAAAUCAGCACGGCCCUUACAUCCGGGGCGACACACGUGUUACAAUGGUGGGGACAAAGGGCAGCUACCUGGCGACAGGAUGCGAAUCUCCAAACCCCAUCUCAGUUCGGAUCGGAGUCUGCAACUCGACUCCGUGAAGCUGGAUUCGCUAUGUUAUAAGGGCAUCAGCCAUGGCGCGGUGAAUACGUUCCCGGGCCUUNNAAGGGCCGCCCGUCAAGCCAUGGGAGUUGGGGGUACCUGAAGUCCGUACCGCAAGAUCGGCCUAGNAANCG
rnacentral:rRNA from 1 species